ACAAUAGGGACACGUGCUGACUUUCUGCUACAGAAUGCCAACUCCUCCACACGUGUCUCUACAUGGGACCAUCUAUGCCUGAAGAAACUGUCUAGCUUUGAAUUCAGAGUGACAAGAGAAACGUGACAAAAUAAUUCUGAGUGAUCUUAAUGGCCACUAGGCACCAAGGUGAACAGCAGAGGAGCCAGGAGGUGAAAGACCACAGAAAAGGCCCAAAGAUUGCCUGGCUUUUUACAACAGCAGCCAUUAUUCAAUCAAAUGGCCCCAUUCAAGACUAGGAAUAGGAUGUGGGAACCUAGCCAAAAGUGGCUGUGUUAAAGAAAAAGCCACAAUGUGGAUCAAGAGAGCAAGGUUAUGGAAGAGGGCAGCUUGGAAUCUGACACACAACUGUAUUUAUUGACUCCACAAAUGGCAUCCGCUAUCUCCCUCCCAGAGGCAACAGAUGACACUAAGGACUUCCAUCUCAGAAGCCUGUUGCCCAUCGCUAUGUCGGAGAUGCUUGACUUUUCUGUUUCACUGUCUUUCAGACACCGUGCACUGGAGUAAAAAGUCAGCACUUACAAAUAA